rnacentral:rRNA from 1 species
UACGUAGGGAGCAAGCGUUGUUCGGAUUUACUGGGCGUAAAGGGCGCGUAGGCGGCGCGGUAAGUCACUUGUGAAAUCUCUGAGCUUAACUCAGAACGGCCAAGUGAUACUGCAGUGCUAGAGUGCAGAAAGGGCAAUCGGAAUUCUUGGUGUAGCGGUGGAAUGCGUAGAGAUCCGGAAGAACACCGGUGGCGAAGGCGGCCUGCUGGGCAGUUGCUGACACUGAGGCGCGACAGCGUGGGGAGCAAACAGG